GCAUAUACAAAGAGAAGCGACCUCGCGAGAGCAAGCGGACCUCAUAAAGUAUGUCGUAGUCCGGAUUGGAGUCUGCAACUCGACUCCAUGAAGUCGGAAUCGCUAGUAAUCGUAGAUCAGAAUGCUACGGUGAAUACGUUCCCGGGCCUUGUACACACCGCCCGUCACACCAUGGGAGUGGGUUGCAAAAGAAGUAGGUAGCUUAACCUUCGGGAGGGCGCUUACCACUUUGUGAUUCAUGACUGGGUGAAGUCGUAACAAGGUAACCGUAGGGGAACCUGCGGUUGG
rnacentral:rRNA from 1 species